rnacentral:misc_RNA from 1 species
GCGGAACCAAUAAGGAGCUAUGUCGAAAAUUUCAUUAGAAUCGAUAAAGGCAAGAGGAGAGAUGAGUUACCUGAAAAUGGGCUAGAUGGCUAGAGCAUGGCAUCCAGAUAAGUAACAAAAGAAACCAUACAAGGGAACCUUGUUCUUUUUUUUUUUUUUUUUUUUUUUUUGAGCUGGUGGAGUAUGAUAGAGAGAAUCUGGGAAUCGGAAUUUGAUGCCUUAUGGCUUUUUGGGGUUCGCACUGUGGGUGGUUGAUCCAAGAGGCAUGGACGAGUUGAAUUGAGCAAACGGAAUACUGUGAGCGCGUGCCGUAAUUAGGAGUACUUGAACAUAGCUACAGGUAUUUGAAGGAUUCCGUCGUCCCUAUGUGGCUUCAAAGGCGAAUGACUACACCAUUUCUCAGUUUGGAAUGGCGACGGGCAGGUAGGUUUUAUCGUUUUCAUUACAGUCCGAGGCAAGGGGAGCCAAGAAAGAAACUGGCAUAGACCG